rnacentral:tRNA from 1 species
UGCAAAAACCCGGAAUCGAACCGGGAUGACCUGUUUGGAGGACAGGCAUACUAACCAUUGUACGAUUUUUGC